GAUGAACGCUGGCGGCGUGCCUAAUACAUGCAAGUCGAGCGAACGGACGAGAAGCUUGCUUUUCUGAUGUUAGCGGCGGACGGGUGAGUAACACGUGGAUAACCUACCUAUAAGACUGGGAUAACUUCGGGAAACCGGAGCUAAUACCGGAUAAUAUUUUGAACCGCAUGGUUCAAAAGUGAAAGACGGUCUUGCUGUCACUUAUAGAUGGAUCCGCGCUGCAUUAGCUAGUUGGUAAGGUAACGGCUUACCAAGGCAACGAUGCAUAGCCGACCUGAGAGGGCGAUCGGCCACACUGGAACUGAGACACGGUCCAGACUCCUACGGGAGGCAGCAGUAGGGAAUCUUCCGCAAUGGGCGAAAGCCUGACGGAGCAACGCCGCGUGAGUGAUGAAGGUCUUCGGAUCGUAAAACUCUGUUAUUAGGGAAGAACAUAUGUGUAAGUAACUGUGCACAUCUUGACGGUACCUAAUCAGGAAGCCACGGCUAACUACGUG
rnacentral:rRNA from 1 species